rnacentral:siRNA from 1 species
AUCCGGUUUAAUUGGUUGGGUUA